rfam:Sugiyamaella lignohabitans strain CBS 10342 chromosome C, complete sequence.
GGCCGUGUGGUCUAGUAGUAUGAUACUCGCUUUGGGUGUAAUUACAUGUUUGCGAGUGGUCCAGGGUUCAAUUCCCUGCUCGGCCC